ensembl:lncRNA
CUGAGAGAUGCCCUAUCCACAAGACCCACGUACAAGCCUUACCGACUCAUGCUAAGAUGAAGCUUCUACUGGCACUUUGUGCAGUUUGGAACAUCAUCCAACUAUCAGAGGGCUGUUCUUCUGGAAAAAUCACAGAAAUGACAGAUCGACUCGCCUGUGUAUCUGAUUAUUGGUUUACAAUUACCUGUACUUUGAACAUCACUGACGAGCCUACAGAUGUCAACAACACCCACUACUGGUUGAAUUUCAUCUGGCCUGAUGAAGCUGGGAACACAUUCAAAUGUCCACUGGUGGAGAUGGGGGACAGUUAUGGUUGCACAUUUGUGGCUGAUUUUGAUGAGAAUGUAAGGUAUAACGACGCUUCAUUUAAUAGCGUGGACUGUUUCAAUGUGCGUCUUUGUUAUAACAUUGACUGCCAAUCAAACUAUGAUAACUUGACAGACUUCGAACCAUCCAAAAAUAUUCAACCAACAGCUCCAAGUCAUCUCGCUGUCCAGUGGACUUUAGAGGGUUACAAAUGCACUUGGCAAAGUGGAUAUGAACACCAUCCUUAUUUAACAGAGUUCCAUUACCAACUCUGCUUCUACAAAUACCAUGGCGAUAAGGGCGAGGUGUUUUGUGUGUCCCCUCAAAACAAAUCUAUUUUAAUUGAUAGAUCUGGACUUAAGCCAGAUACCACA